rnacentral:rRNA from 1 species
UACAGAGGGUGCGAGCGUUAAUCGGAAUUACUGGGCGUAAAGCGCACGUAGGCGGCUUGGCAAGUCGGAUGUGAAAUCCCUCGGCUCAACCAAGGAAGUGCAUCCGAAACUGCCGAGCUUGAGUACUUAAGAGGAUCGCGGAAUUCCCGGUGUAGAGGUGAAAUUCGUAGAUAUCGGGAGGAACAUCAGUGGCGAAGGCGGCGAUCUGGGAAGUUACUGACGCUGAGGUGCGAAAGCGUGGGGAGCAAACAGG